rnacentral:lncRNA from 1 species
UGUCAUGCAAGAGUUCGCCUUGGGGCAGAAAGUAAUUGCCGGAAAGGUGGGGAGGAUUGAAGACUAGCUGAAGAUGGGGAACAUGCAAGGAAACGCUUCGUCAUCUGGACCGAAGAAAUCUUUUGGUAAUGACCAGCACAAGGAUGAGGGUGAAUCGAGUGCUGUGUACGCCCAGAGAGGACACGGUAGGGGUCGUUACUACCAGCACACCGCUGCGGUAACUAUUCCUGCUGACAAUCAGCCUGCACAAC